rnacentral:hammerhead_ribozyme from 1 species
AUCCAGCCGACGAGUCCCAAAUGGGACGAAACGUGUGUCCUGGAU